rnacentral:rRNA from 1 species
AGGGUUUGAUCCUGGCUCAGGAUGAACGCUGGCGGCGUGCUUAACACAUGCAAGUCGAGCGAAGCACUUAUCAUUGACUCUUCGGAAGAUUUGAUAUUUGACUGAGCGGCGGACGGGUGAGUAACGCGUGGGUAACCUGCCUCAUACAGGGGAAUAACAGUUAGAAAUGGCUGCUAAUGCCGCAUAAGCGCACAGGACCGCAUGGUCUGGUGUGAAAAACUGAGGUGGUAUGAGAUGGACCCGCGUCUGAUUAGGUGGUUGGUGGGGUAACGGCCUACCAAGCCGACGAUCAGUAGCCGGCCUGAGAGGGUGAACGGCCACAUUGGGACUGAGACACGGCCCAG